CCUACGGGGGGCAGCAGUAGGGAAUAUUGCUCAAUGGGGGAAACCCUGAAGCAGCAACGCCGCGUGGAGGAUGAAGGUUUUAGGAUUGUAAACUCCUUUUGUGAGAGAAGAUAAUGACGGUAUCUAACGAAUAAGCACCUGCCAAUUCCGUGCCAGCAGCCGCGGUAAUACGGAGGGUGCAAGCGUUACUCGGAAUCACUGGGCGUAAAGGGUGCGCAGGCGGGCUUGUAAGUCAGAUGUGAAAUCCUGUAGGUUAACUACAGAACUGCAUUUGAAACUAGGAGUCUAGAGUUUGGGAGAGGUAGGUGGAAUUCUUGGUGUAGGGGUAAAAUCCGUAGAUAUCAAGAAGAAUACUCAUUGCGAAGGCGACCUACUGGAACAUUACUGACGCUCAGGCACGAAAGCGUGGGGAGCAAACAGGAUUAGAUACCCGAGUAGUC
rnacentral:rRNA from 1 species